rnacentral:sRNA from 1 species
UGAUGUGAGAAUGACCUGGCUACAAAAUCUGUCACCCCAUGAUUACCAGUGUAGAUUGGGCUCAGCUGGCUGGGCUAAAAUCCUAUUCUUCCCCCCAAAGUUCCACCUCCCAAACCUGCACACUUGGGCUGAGAAGGUACAUUUCCAGGGAGAGAAUAUCUGAUUUUUGACAAGGAACAUAAAUGAGACUAGCUGUCCUGCUAUGCACUUUAAACAAGAUGGCAGGUUCCAUUUGUCAUCAAACUGCAACUGCUAAGUAAGUUGGUAGUU